rnacentral:rRNA from 1 species
GUGGGGAAUAUUGGACAAUGGGCGAAAGCCUGAUCCAGCCAUGCCGCGUGUGUGAAGAAGGUCUUCGGAUUGUAAAGCACUUUAAGUUGGGAGGAAGGGCAGUAAGUUAAUACCUUGCUGUUUUGACGUUACCGACAGAAUAAGCACCGGCUAACUUCGUGCCAGCAGCCGCGGUAAUACGAAGGGUGCAAGCGUUAAUCGGAAUUACUGGGCGUAAAGCGCGAGUAGGUGGUUUUGUAAGUUGGAGGUGAAAUCCCCGGGCUCAACCUGGGAACUGCCUCCAAAACUGGAUGACUAGAUGACGGUAGAGGGUAGUGGAAUUUCCUGUGUAGCGGUGAAAUGCGUAGAUAUAGGAAGGAACACCAGUGGCGAAGGCGACUACCUGGACUGAUACUGACACUGAGGUGCGAAAGCGUGGGGAGCAAACAGGAUUAGAAACCCGUGUAGUCC